rnacentral:rRNA from 1 species
AUUGAACGCUGGCGGCAUGCUUUACACAUGCAAGUCGAACGGUAACAGCACUUCGGUGGCUGACGAGUGGCGAACGGGUGAGUAAUACAUCGGAACGUGCCUAGUAGUGGGGGAUAACUACUCGAAAGAGUAGCUAAUACCGCAUGAGAUCUAAGGAUGAAAGCAGGGGACCUUCGGGCCUUGCGCUACUAGAGCGGCUGAUGGCAGAUUAGGUAGUUGGUGGGAUAAAAGCUUACCAAGCCGACGAUCUGUAGCUGGUCUGAGAGGACGACCAGCCACACUGGGACUGAGACACGGCCCAGGCUCCUACGGGAGGCAGCAGUGGGGAAUUUUGGACAAUGGGCGCAAGCCUGAUCCAGCAAUGCCGCGUGCAGGAUGAAGGCCUUCGGGUUGUAAACUGCUUUUGUACGGAACGAAAAGCCCUCUUCUAAUACAGGAGGGUCAUGACGGUACCGUAAGAAUAAGCACCGGCUAACUACGUG